rnacentral:rRNA from 1 species
CCUACGGGUGUGCAGCAGUGGGGAAUAUUGGACAAUGGGGGAAACCCUGAUCCAGCGACGCCGCGUGAGUGAAGAAGUAUUUCGGUACGUAAAGCCCUAUCAGCAGGAAAGAAAAUGACGGUACCUGACUAAGAAGCCCCGGCUAACUACGUGCCAGCAGCCGCGGUAAUCCGUAGGGGGCAAGCGUUACCCGGAUUUCCUGGGUGGAAGGGGGGCGUAGACGGCAGGGCAGGUCUGGAGUGAAAUGCCGGGGCCCAACCCCGGAACUGCCCUGGAAACUGUGAGGCUAGAGUGCAGGAGGGGUAAGCGGAAUUCCUGGUGUAGCGGUGAAAUGCGUAGAUAUCAGGAGGAACACCGGCGGCGAAGGCGGCUUACUGGACUGUAACUGACGUUGAGGCUCGAAGGCGUGGGGAGCAAACAGGAUUAGAUACCCCGGUAGUC